rnacentral:rRNA from 1 species
GACGAACGCUGGCGGCGUGCUUAACACAUGCAAGUCGAACGGUAAGGCCCUUCGGGGUACACGAGUGGCGAACGGGUGAGUAACACGUGGGUGAUCUGCCCUGCACUUCGGGAUAAGCCUGGGAAACUGGGUCUAAUACCGGUUAGGACCCUGGGAUGCAUGUCCUGGGGUGGAAAGCUUUUGCGGUGUGGGAUGGGCCCGCGGCCUAUCAGCUUGUUGGUGGGGUGAUGGCCUACCAAGGCGACGGCGGGUAGCCGGCCUGAGAGGGUGACCGGCCACACGGGGACUGAGAUACGGCCCAGACUCCUACGGGAGGCAGCAGUGGGGAAGAUUGCACAAUGGGCGCAAGCCUGAUGCAGCGACGCCGCGUGAGGGAUGACGGCCUUCGGGUUGUAAACCUCUUUCAGCACCGACGAAGCGCAAGUGACGGUAGGUGCAGAAGAAGGACCGGCCAACUACGUGCCAGCCGCCGCCGUAA